AUUGAACGCUGGCGGCAUGCCUUACACAUGCAAGUCGAACGGCAGCACGGGAGCAAUCCUGGUGGCGAGUGGCGAACGGGUGAGUAAUACAUCGGAACGUGCCCAUUAGUGGGGGAUAGCCCGGCGAAAGCCGGAUUAAUACCGCAUACGACCUACGGGUGAAAGCAGGGGAUCGCAAGACCUUGCGCUAUUGGAGCGGCCGAUGUCAGAUUAGCUAGUUGGGGGGUAAAAGCCUACCAAGGCGACGAUCUGUAGCUGGUCUGAGAGGACGACCAGCCACACUGGGACUGAGACACGGCCCAGACUCCUACGGGAGGCAGCAGUGGGGAAUUUUGGACAAUGGGCGAAAGCCUGAUCCAGCCAUGCCGCGUGCGGGAAGAAGGCCU
rnacentral:rRNA from 1 species